CCUUACCAGGACUUGACAUGUAAGGAACCCUGUAGAGAUACGGGGGUGCCCCUUUCGGGGAACCUUAACACAGGUGGUGCAUGGUUGUCGUCAGCUCGUGUCGUGAGAUGUUGGGUUAAGUCCCGCAACGAGCGCAACCCCUGUUGUUAGUUGCUACCAUUAAGUUGAGCACUCUAACGAGACUGCCGAGGUCAACUCGGAGGAAGGUGGGGAUGACGUCAAAUCAUCAUGCCCCUUAUGUCCUGGGCUACACACGUGCUACAAUGGCCGGUACAAAGAGAAGCAAUCCCGCGAGGGGGAGCAAAUCUUCAAAACCGGUCCCAGUUCGGAUUGUAGGCUGCAACUCGCCUACAUGAAGCCGGAGUUGCUAGUAAUCGGAU
rnacentral:rRNA from 1 species